GAUUAUGUCGGGCCGAUUAAUCGAGAUGGCGACAUAACCUCGAAUUUUGCCACGGUACGACAGCAGUUCCCUUGGUAAAUUAAUCAUUUCAGCAGCUGCUGUCAUAUUAGCAAGAGCGGAUAAGACAAAUGAACGUCGUGGAGCUUGUUAAGACGUAAUCCGAGAGAUACGUCGUGGUCCUCUCCCUUUUCGCUUCCCGUCAAUUUUCUCUUUCUCACUCUUACAGCCUCACUCUACCUACCUCUUAUCCAGCUUUCACCCAUGUCCAUCUCAUCGUGGAUUACAUUAUUAAGGGAUCCCGCCAUUUUGACUCAUGGUCCUCGUCAUCUGUUUACAUGAGUCUACGAAUUUUUAUUUAUUUUAUAUCAAUUCCAGAGACACGACGGCCAUCUUGUUCACGUCCCUUCAGAAACAGUUUUCUCAGUGAUCUCCCGAUAGUAUCUCGCGGCAAGAGAAAAAAGAAAAAUGGUCUCGGACAACCGAAACCCACAGUCCGCUUCGUCCGUUACGAGUGUUACCGUGAUUUCGAGCUUCUAAAGAUUGAAGAUAGUGUCAAUGCGGGCGCCACCGUUUACAACGAGCGGAGUGAAUCAUUUUAAAAUACUUGGAAUGACUACGAGUAACAUCUGGUGUCUAGGUUGUCCUUCUCUUCUGUAUAGAACAUCUACCGGAUACGAAUAAUCUAUCAUGCUAUCAAAUAAUCCAAAAAAAUUUUCAAGAGUGCUUACGAAGAAGCGCAGAACUGUUUCUUUGCCGUGGUAUUAUCGCCAUUACUGCUGUCACUCGAGGUAGAAUCAUUCCUGACAAACGGUUCGGACAUCAGGACCUUGUAAUACGAAGAUUUAUCGAUGAGUAUCGAAAUCCCUAGGAUCUUGGACACCUGUUGUGUGAGACUGUCGUGUCGUGACCUACGUCGCCAUUAGUCGCAGGGAGCCUGGAUCCGAAGACAAAGGUUAAUUUGGUACGUGUUGUAAUCCGUCCCGUCGCACGGUCCUGGAACUCUCCUGCAGGAUGACAGGAUGAGGAUUAGCAGCUUGUCCCGCCAAGGAUUAUAUCGGA